UAGGGAAUCUUCGGCAAUGGGGGGAACCCUGACCGAGCAACGCCGCGUGAGUGAAGAAGGUUUUCGGAUCGUAAAGCUCUGUUGUUAAGGAAGAACGAGUGUGAGAAUGGAAAGUUCAUACUGUGACGGUACUUAACCAGAAAGGGACGGCUAACUACGUGCCAGCAGCCGCGGUAAUACGUAGGUCCCGAGCGUUGUCCGGAUUUAUUGGGCGUAAAGCGAGCGCAGGCGGUUAGAUAAGUCUGAAGUUAAAGGCAGUGGCUCAACCAUUGUAGGCUUUGGAAACUGUUUAACUUGAGUGCAGAAGGGGAGAGUGGAAUUCAAUGUGUAGCGGUGAAAUGCGUAGAUAUAUGGAGGAACACCGGUGGCGAAAGCGGCUCUCUGGUCUGUAACUGACGCUGAGGCUCGAAAGCGUGGGGAGCGAACAGG
rnacentral:rRNA from 1 species